rnacentral:rRNA from 1 species
GAUUAACGCUGGCGGUAUGCAUAACACAUGCAAGUCGAACGAGUGUAGCAAUACACUAGUGGCAAACGGGUGAGUAAUACGUAUUUAAGCUACCCCUUAGGGGCGAAUACCCUGUCGAAAGAUAGGCUAAUACGCCAUAGGAAUUUAGAUCACAUGAUACUAUUUUUUAAAGUUCCUUUACAGGAAUGCUUUGGGAUGCGAGUGCGGCUUAUCAGAUAGUUGGUGAGGUAACGGCCCACCAAGUCUAUGACGAGUAUCUAUGCUGAGAGGUAGAAUAGACACAAUGGAACUGCGACACGGUCCAUACUCCUACGGGAGGCAGCAGUGGGGAAUUUUUCACAAUGGGCGAAAGCCUGAUGGAGCAAUACCGCGUGAAUGAUGAAGGUCUUCGGAUUGUAAAAUUCUUUUAUUUGGGAAAAACGGUCUUAUUAGGAAAUGAAUAGGAAGUGAUUGUACCAUUUGAAUAAGUAACGGCAAACUUCGUGCCAGCAGCCGCGGUAAUACGAAGGUUACAAGCGUUAUCCGGAUUAACUGGGCGUAAAGGGAUGCGUAGGCGGAUUAAAAAGUCUGGUGUUAAAUGCUAUUGCCUAACAAUAGUAUGCAUUGGAAACUAUUAAUCUAGAGUAGAAUAGAGAGUUUUAGAACUCCAUGUGGAGCGGUGGAAUGCGUAGAUAUAUGGAAGAAUACCAGUAGCGAAGGCGAAAACUUAGGUUCUUACUGACGCUUAGGCUCGAAAGUGUGGGGAGCAAAUAGGAUUAGAUACCCUAGUAGUCCACACCGUAAACGAUGGUCAUUAUUUGUUCCUCAAUAGAGGAGUGAUGAAGCUAACGCGAUAAAUGACCCGCCUGAGUAGUACAUUCGCAAGAAUGAAACUCAAACCGGAAUUGACGGGGACCAGCACAAAUGGUGGAUUAUGUUGUUUAAUUCGACAGCACACGCAGAACCUUACCAGGGCUUGACAUACUUUGCAAAGUUGUAGAAAUACAAUGGAGGUUAACAGAGAUACAGGUGGUGCAUGGUUGUCGUCAGCUCGUGUCGUGAGAUGUUGGGUUAAGUCCCGCAACGAGCGCAACCCCUUUUCUUAGUUACUUUAUCUAAGAAUACUGCUAGCGCAAGCUAGAGGAAGGUGGGGAUGACGCCAAAUCAUCAUGCCCUUUAUGCCCUGGGCUACAAACGUAAUACAAUGGUCGGUACAAACUGUCGCCAAGUCGUAAGACGGAGCCAAUCAGAAAAAGCCGAUCUCAGUUCGGAUCGAGGGUUGCAAUUCAUCCUCGUGAAGUUGGAAUCAUUAGUAAUCGUGUAUCAGACAUGUCACGGUGAAUACGUUCUCUGGU